GAGUUUGAUCCUGGCUCAGAACGAACGUUGGCGGCGUGCUUAACACAUGCAAGUCGAACGAGAACGGUUUCUUCGGAGACCUAGUAAAGUGGCGCACGGGUGAGUAACGCGUAAGUAAUCUACCUUUGCAUUUGGAAUAACUACGGGAAGCUGUAGCUAAUACCAAAUACGUUUAUAUAGUUACGACUAUAUAAAGAAAGAUGGCCUCUUCUUGAAAGCUAUCGUGCAGAGAGGAGCUUGCGUACCAUUAGCUAGUUGGUAGGGUAAUGGCCUACCAAGGCAACGAUGGUUAGCGGGUCUGAGAGGAUGAUCCGCCACACUGGAACUGGAACACGGACCAGACUCCUACGGGAGGCAGCAGUGAGGAAUAUUGCGCAAUGGGGGAAACCCUGACGCAGCGACGCCGCGUGGAUGAUGAAGGCCUUAGGGUCGUAAAAUCCUGUCAGAUGGGAAGAAAUGUAUGAAGGAACAAUACCCUUUAUGCUUGACGGUACCAUCAAAGGAGCACCGGCUAACUCCGUGCCAGCCGCCG
rnacentral:rRNA from 1 species